rfam:Blautia sp. An46 An46_contig_18, whole genome shotgun sequence.
CAUUCUACCUGCUGGGGGGAAAUGAAAUGGAUAUGGGUAUCCAGUCCGCCGGCAGUGAGGAUCAGGCCUUCACCAGCCAGGGCCUCUGUGGAAGCGCCCACGGUCAUUCCGGGAGUUACCCCGUCCAUAACUGCAGGGUUUCCGGCCUUGCCGAUGCCUGCGAUCUUUCCGUCUUUAAUUCCGAUAUCUGCUUUGUAGAUUCCUGUAUAAUCCAGGACUAAAGCGUUGGUGAUCACCAGAUCCAGGUCUCCGUCGGCGCUGGUAGUCUUUACAGACUGUCCCAUGCCGUCACGAAG